CUAGGGAGCAAAGAACUUGGAAAUCGAUUUCUUCCUUACAUGGCUGGAAGGUGAAAACACAUGGAUUUGGCGUUAGAGGAAUGACGGCUGAAGUAGCUAUGGCCAUUCGCAUGUCUGCUAAUGCUGCUCUUGAUUUGGAUAAGGCUCGAGCCUUGCUGCCAAAAAGGAAAGCUAUAAAAGAAAGUUCU